rnacentral:rRNA from 1 species
AGAUUGAACGCUGGCGGCAUGCCUUACACAUGCAAGUCGAACGGCAGCACGGGGGUAACCCUGGUGGCGAGUGGCGAACGGGUGAGUAAUACAUCGGAACGUGUCCUGUAGUGGGGGAUAGCCCGGCGAAAGCCGGAUUAAUACCGCAUACGAUCUACGGAAGAAAGCGGGGGGAUCCUUCGGGACCUCGCGCUAUAGGGGCGGCCGAUGGCAGAUUAGCUAGUUGGUGGGGUAAAGGCCUACCAAGGCGACGAUCUGUAGCUGGUCUGAGAGGACGACCAGCCACACUGGGACUGAGACACGGCCCAGACUCCUACGGGAGGCAGCAGUGGGGAAUUUUGGACAAUGGGGGAAACCCUGAUCCAGCAAUGCCGCGUGUGUGAAGAAGGCCUUCGGGUUGUAAGCACUUUUGUCCGGAAGAAACUUCUGCCCUAAUACGGUGGAGGAUGACGGUACCGGAAGAAUAAGCACCGGCUAACUACGUGCCAGCAGCCGC